CACGUAGUUAGCCGGUGCUUCUUCUGCAGGUACCGUCACAAAAAGCUUCGUCCCUGCUGAAAGCGGUUUACAACCCGAAGGCCGUCAUCCCGCACGCGGCGUCGCUGCAUCAGGCUUGCGCCCAUUGUGCAAUAUUCCCCACUGCUGCCCCCCGUAGGAGUCUGGGCCGUAUCUCAGUCCCAAUGUGGCCGGUCACCCUCUCAGGCCGGCUACCCGUCGCCGCCUUGGUAGGCCACUACCCCACCAACAAGCUGAUAGGCCGCGAGUCCAUCCACAACCGCCGGAGCUUUCCAACCCCACCAUGCAGCAGGAGCACAUAUCCAGUAUUAGCACCAGUUUCCAGCGUUAUCCCAAAGUUGUGGGCAGGUUACUCACGUGUUACUCACCCGUUCGCCACUCGUCGUACCCCCGAAAGGGCCUUACCGUACGACUUGCAUGUGUUAAGCACGCCGCCAGCGUCGUCCUGAGCCAGAGUCAAACUCUA
rnacentral:rRNA from 1 species